AUUGGGCCGCAAGGUCCAAUUCAGUGGCGAAAGGGCGAGUAAUACGUCGAUCAUCUGCCCCAGGGCCCGGAAUAACACUUGGAAACGAGUGCUAAUACCGGAUGGUCCAGAAAUGGUAAACGGUGGGGACCCGCAAGGGCCUGCCGCCCAGGGAGGAGUCGAUGGCCUAUCAGCUUGUUGGUGAGGUAACGGCUCACCAAGGCGAAGACGGGUAGCCGGACUGAGAGGUUGGUCGGCCGCACUGGGACUGGGACACUGCCCAGACUCCUACGGGAGGCUGCAGUCGAGGAUCUUCCGCAAUGGGGGCAACCCUGACGGAGCGACGCCGCGUGCAGGAUGAAGGCCUUCGGGUCGUAAACUGCUGUCACACGUUAUGAAAAAGUAUGAACUAACACUUCAUACCUUGACAAAGGCGUGAAAGGAAGCCACGGCUAACUUCGUGCCAGCAGCCGCGGUAAGACGAAGGUGGCUAGCGUUGCUCGGAUUUACUGGGCAUAAAGCGCGCGUAGGUGGUCGUGUAAGCGGGGGAUGAAAGCCCAUGGCUCACCCAUGGAACUGUCCCCCGGACUGCACGGCUCGAGGAAGGAAGGGGAGAAUGGAAUUCCCGGUGUAGCGGUGAAAUGCGUAGAUAUCGGGAGGAACGCCGGUGGCGAAAGCGAUUCUCUGGUCCUCUCCUGACACUGAGGCGCGAAAGCUAGGGGAGCAAACAGGAUUAGAUACCCUGGUAGUCCUAGCUGUAAACGAUGGGCACUAGGUAGAGGGGGUGUCGAUACUCUCUCUGUCGUAGCAAAUGUGUUAAGUGCCCCGCCUGGGGAGUACGGUCGCAAGGCUAAAACUC
rnacentral:rRNA from 1 species